rnacentral:rRNA from 14 species
UGUCGAUGAAGAGCGCAGCCAACUGUGUGAAUUAAUGUGAACUGCAUACUGCUUUGAACAUCGACAUCUUGAACGCAUAUUGCGGCCAUGGGUUAGCCUGUGGCCACGCCUGUCCGAGGGUCG